rnacentral:rRNA from 1 species
AUACGUAGGGUGCGAGCGUUGUCCGGAAUUACUGGGCGUAAAGAGCUCGUAGGUGGUUUGUCGCGUCGUCUGUGAAAUUCCGGGGCUUAACUCCGGGCGUGCAGGCGAUACGGGCAUAACUUGAGUACUGUAGGGGAGACUGGAAUUCCUGGUGUAGCGGUGAAAUGCGCAGAUAUCAGGAGGAACACCGGUGGCGAAGGCGGGUCUCUGGGCAGUAACUGACGCUGAGGAGCGGAAGCAUGGGUAGCGAACAGGAUUAGAUACCCUGGUAGUCCAUGCCGUAAACGGUGGGCGCUAGGUGUAGGGGUCUUCCACGACUUCUGUGCCGUAGCUAACGCAUUAAGCGCCCCGCCUGGGGAGUACGGCCGCAAGGCUAAAACUCAAAGGAAUUGACGGGG